CCUACGGGAGGCAGCAGUAAGGAAUAUUGGACAAUGCUCGCAAGAGUGAUCCAGCCGUGCCGCGUGCAGGAAGAAUGCCCUAUGGGUAGUAAACUGCUUUUGAACUAGAGAAAACCCCAGUACGUGUACUGGGCUGAUAGUAUAGUUAGAAUAAGCAUCGGCUAACUUCGUGCCAGCAGCCGCGGUAAGACGAAGGAUGCAAGCGUUAUCCGGAUUCAUUGGGUUUAAAGGGAGCGUAGGUGGACUGAUAAGUCAGUGGUGAAAUCUCCGAGCUUAACUCGGAAAUUGCCAUUGAUACUGUUGGUCUUGAGUACAGUUGCUGUGGGCGGAAUAUGACAUGUAGUGGUGAAAUACGUAGAGAUGUCAUAGAACACCGAUUGCGAAGGCAGCUCACAAAGCUGUAACUGACACUGAGGCUCGAAAGUGCGGGGAUCAAACAGGAUUAGAUACCCUGGUAGUCCGCACCGUAAACGAUGAUUACUCGCUGCUAGGGGGCAACCUUUAGUGGCUUAGCGAAAGCGAUAAGUAAUCCACCGNGGAGGUACGCCGGCCGACGGUAGAAACGUUAAAGUAAGUAGUAGACGNGAGAGACGCGACGGACGGACGACGACGGAGGGAGGGAG
rnacentral:rRNA from 1 species